rnacentral:misc_RNA from 1 species
UCAGAGAUGGCGGGCCCCCGCGCCCCCGUCCCCAACCCAUUGUUGACCAAAACCCUUUUUGCCUCGGGGGCAGAGCGUCCGCCGCCGCCCCCGGAGGAACAACCAACGCUGUCUCUUUGCGUCGGAGUAAUUGAUUAAAUGAAUGA